AACGAACGCUGGCGGCGUGCCUAACACAUGCAAGUCGAACGGGAUUCGGAGCUUGCUCCGAUGAGAGUGGCGCACGGGUGAGUAACGCGUAGAUAAUCUGCCUGAUGAUCUGGGAUAACAGUUCGAAAGGACUGCUAAUACCGGAUAAGCCCACGGAGACCUUGGUCUUUGCGGGAAAAGGGGGGGGACCUUCGGGCCUUCCGUCAUCAGAUGAGUCUGCGUACCAUUAGCUAGUUGGUAGGGUAAAAGCCUACCAAGGCGACGAUGGUUAGCUGGUCUGAGAGGAUGAUCAGCCACACUGGAACUGAGACACGGUCCAGACUCCUACGGGAGGCAGCAGUGGGGAAUUUUGCGCAAUGGGGGAAACCCUGACGCAGCAACGCCGCGUGAGUGAUGAAGGCUCUUGGGUCGUAAAGCUCUGACAGAGGGAAAGAAGUGUAUGGUGGUUAAUACCCAUUGUACUUGACGGUACCCUCAAAGGAAGCACCGGGUAACUCCGUGCCAGCAGCCGCGGUAACAC
rnacentral:rRNA from 1 species